rnacentral:misc_RNA from 1 species
GAUGAAGAACGUAGCGAAAUGCGAUACUUGGUGUGAAUUGCAGAAUCCCGUGAACCAUCGAGUCUUUGAACGCAAGUUGCGCCCGAAGCCACUAGGCCGAGGGCACGCCUGCCUGGGCGUCACACGUCGUUGCCCCCCCAUCUACUCCUUCGGGAUUGCGGGGGGGCGGAUGAUGGCCUCCCGUGCGCCUAGCCGCGCGGUUGGCAUAAAUACCAAGUCCUCGGCGACGCACGCCACGACAAUCGGUGGUUGCGAAACCUCGGUUGCCCGUCGUGUGCGUUCGUCGCGCAUCGAGGGCUCGAAAAAAUGCUCGGCUCCGGCUGGGCUUUCAACGCGACCCCAGGUCAGGCGGGGUUACCCGCUGAAUUUAAGCAUAUCAAUAAGCGGAGAA